UACAGAGGGUGCUAGCGUUGUUCGGAAUUACUGGGCGUAAAGGGCCAGUAGGCGGCCAACUAAGUCCGACGUGAAAUCCCAAGGCUUAACCUUGGAACUGCGUCGGAUACUGGAUGGCUUGAAUUCGGGAGAGGGAUGCAGAAUUUCAGGUGUAGCGGUGAAAUGCGUAGAUAUCUGAAGGAACAUCAGUGGCGAAAGCGACUUCCUGGACCAAUACUGACGCUCAUGUGCGAAAGCGUGGGGAGCAAGCAGG
rnacentral:rRNA from 1 species